rnacentral:lncRNA from 1 species
AAAAAUACUUGCUAUAAGUUCUUAUUUUUCCUUCUGACAAGAGGAGGACACGGGACACAGAAAAGGGACAAAACAUAGAACAUCAAAAACACUAGAAACAAGGCUUUUAGUUUGUGAAUAACAUUCCGUAUCCAAGAGAAACGAAAUUGACAUGGAGCAAGAUCCUUUCAGAAGCAAAAAUCAAGAUCCGCUACAAAUUCUAAGGUACACAAUUUAUUGUUUUUGCUCCGAAAUAACUUUUAGUUUUCAAAAGGAAGAAAGAGAUGAUAGUUGUUGCUAUUGUGUGGUUGGAGGAACAAUGACUGCGUGGUCAUUGGGUCUUCGGAUAGGAAGCGAUAGAUCAUUGUAGAAAUUGGAACAAAAUGGAGUUUAUCACGAUCAUAAUUCGUUUGUCUCGCGUAAAGAUUCAAAGACAUCACUUUCUGAUUUCCAGAGAAAAGAAAAAAAGGCUUCCCUCUUUUUGUAGGUUUGGUACGAAAGUAGGUUGAAAUGCUGAUUUUGGUUGCAUUUUCACUCUACUUUUGUUGUAGGAUUUUCCAUGAUUAAUGAAGGUCCAUUUCCUGAAGUCUUUUUGGUUUCUUUCUUGUGGAAUAUCAUCUGGAAUAGGGAUCUAUUUAUGUUUAAACUUUAGUAGCUUAUCUAUUCUGGGUAGGUUGCGAGCAGGGAUGACUAUAAUAUCUUUUCUUAGUAGGACCAAAUGCAUAUUGUCGAUAGAUGAAGGAAGCGACCAAUAAAAAUAAAAAUGUCUAUUUUAAGUUUAAACACACCUGAACAAUAUACACACAAUGCAACCUACUGUGAAAGGAAUUAGAGUCACAAGUUUGAGUAAUUGGAAGGAAUAACUCAUAGAAUAAAGUCUCUCAUUUUCUAGAUUAUAUUACGAGAGCAGUGGAGUUUUAUUAUAUGUUGACUUCUGGUGUUGUAAUGUCUAAUGUAUUGAAGAGAAGUGUGAAGGUUUGUUCUUAACUACCAUCUCUAUUGGUGUAACCUAAUAUCGAUGUGAAAUUUUGGUGAAAUAAUAAAACAAAUAUAGAACGACAUGGAUUGUUUAAUGUGCGAACUCGAAAGAGAUCCAAAUAAAAUUCUUUAAAUUAGAGAAAAAAAAGAUUGUUUAAUGUGCCAUUUGACUACACCUCAACUCUUAGUUAGUAGAGAAGAUCACAACAGAAAAUCAUAAUUUUCAGGUUUACUUGCACUAUAAUAGGUAAAGUUUGGAUGAUCAGAAUGGAGAUACAACUGAUUACAAGUUUCAUUAUACCAUUAUUGUAUCCCAUGGCUUCUGUUCUAUAUUCAUACUUGAUAAUGAUCAGAAAACAAAUACAAAUUGGGACAGUAUAGUGGAUAUAGACAGUGAAAGAAGGGAUUUACUAGAAAUUAAUCAUCCCAUGGAUUUUCCUUUAAUGAACUGUUUGAUCAUUUUAUAUAGAUCGUUGUCGCAAUUGGCACAAAAUGGAGUUUACCACUCUCAGAAUUCGUUUGUCUCGUGUAAAGUUUUAAAGAAAUCACUUUUCGAUUUCCAGAGAAAAGAAAAAAUGACUUCCCUUUAUCUGCAAGUUUUCGGUACGAAAGCAGGUGGGAAUGCUGAUUUGGUUACAUUUGCACUCUUGGCUUCUAUUGUAUGAUUUUGCAUGGUUAAAAAGGUCCGUUUUCUAAAGUCUUUUUGAUUUCUUUCUUGUGGAAUAUCAUCUGAAAUAUGGAUCUAUUUAUGUUUAAAAUUUAGUAGCUUUAUUUAUCCUGAGUAGGUUAAGAGCAGGGCUGGCUCUAAUACCUUUUCUUAGUAGGAUUAAAUGCAUAUUGUGGAUAGAUGAAGGAAGCGACCUGUAAAAAUAAAAAUGUUUGUUUUAAGUUUAAACGCACCUGAACAAGAUACAUACGAUCUGGGUGGUCAUUGGGUCUUUGGAUAAAAAGCGAUGAAUAGUUGCAAUUGGUACAAAAUGGAGUUUAUCACUCUCAGAAUUCGUUUGCCUUACGUAAAGAUUUAAAGACAUCACUUUCUGAUUUCCAGAGAGAAGGAAAAAUGGUGUCCCUCUAUUUCUAGGCUUUUGGUAUGAAAGCAGGUCGAAAUAUUGAUUUUGGUUGCAUUUGCAAUCUUGGCUUUUGUUGUAGGAUUUUCCAUGGUUAAGAAAGGUCCAUUUUCAGAAUUUUUUUGAUUUCUUUCUUGUGGAAUAUCAACUGGAAUAGGGAUCUAUUUAUGUUUAAACUUUAGUAGUUUUAUCUAUCCUCGGUGAGUUGCGAGUAGGGCUGGCUGUAAUACCUUUUCUUAGUAGGACCAAAUGCAUAUUGUGGAUAUAUGAAGGAAGUGACCAAUAAAAAUAAAAAUGUCUGUUUUAAGUUUAAACACACCUGAACAAGAUACAUACGAUGCAGCCCACUGUGAAAAGAAUUAGAGUCACAAGUUUGAGUAAUUGCAAGGAAUAAAAUAAAGUCUAUGUCAUUUUCUAGACUGUAUUACGAGAGUAGUGAAAUUUUAUUAUAUGUUGACUUCUGGUGUUGUAACAUCUAAUGUAUGGAAGAGAAGUGUGAAGGUUUGUUCUUAACUACCAUCUCUAUUGGUGUAACCUAAUAUCGAUGUGAAAUUUUGGUGAAAUAAUAAAACAAAUAUAAAACGACAUGGAUUGUUUAAUGUGCCAUUUGACUACACCUAAGCUCUUAGUUAGUAGAGAAGAUCACAAUAAAAAUAAUAAUUUUCAGGUUUACUUGCAUAGAUAAAGUUUGGAUCAUCAAAGUGGAGAUUACAACUGAUUAUAAGUUUCAUUAUAUCAUUAUUGUAUCCCAUUGCUUGAUAUGUUCUUUAUUCAUACUUGACAAUGAUAAAAAAAACAAAUACAAAUUGGGACAGUAUAGUGGAUAUAGACAGUGGAAGAAGGGAUUUACUAGAAAUAAAUCUUCUGUUCAAGUAGAGGCGGUUCAAGAACAUUAGCUAUGAAUAUUUUCAAAAUCAGUAACUCUAGCUUGGACACCGUAUGUUAGAAAAAUCUCUAAAUUAGUAUAAAAAUAAAAUUUGGAUUCAAUAAAUCAAAUGAACUGUGAUAUAAUUCAGAACUACAACCCUUUAAGUUUAAAUUUUGAAUCCAUGUCUGCAUUCAUUAGAAUGUCUCUAUUGGCCUCUUUUGCAUUCUUACUGACGAAGUGGCUAGAGAGGCACUUUGAUUUGAAGUGCUUAGCUAGGUUCCAAUGUUCUAUUCCAAAACCUCUCGUAUUUUUUUAGGUGUUAGUAUAGAUACCUUUUUGCAUAUUUGCUAUUUGCUAGUUAUAUUUUUUAUAAACCAUCUUUCAGGUAUUACUUCAACAAAGACUGUUUGAACAUUAAAUGGACUGAAGACGAUCCCAACAUCUUGACAAGUGAGAGGAUUUGAUUAAAUAGACUGAAGACAAUCUUAACAGCUUGGCAGGUGAAAGUAUUUUGCUGAAAUUUCUUUGUAUAUUUGUUGUUAGACACUUCUCUCGCCAUGUGGUCAUUGUUUUAGUAUGUUAACUUGCAUAGUUAACUGCAAAUGCACAUUGCCAGAUGAUUUUGAUUCUAAUAUUGUAUAUGUCUAACUUAUGAAGGAUUAGUUCAAUUAUAUUUCCUGACCAAUUUGAUAUCCUAACUUUCCUCUGUCAAAGUUGUUGGUGAUCAUUUAUCGUUG